ACGGACUUCGGUCUGGUGGCGAGUGGCGAACGGGUGAGUAGUGUAUCGGAACGUACCUUUCAGUGGGGGAUAACGUAGCGAAAGUUACGCUAAUACCGCAUAUUCUGUGAGCAGGAAAGCAGGGGAUCGAAAGACCUUGCGCUGAUUGAGCGGCCGAUAUCAGAUUAGCUAGUUGGUGGGGUAAAGGCCUACCAAGGCGACGAUCUGUAGCGGGUCUGAGAGGAUGAUCCGCCACACUGGAACUGAGACACGGUCCAGACUCCUACGGGAGGCAGCAGUGGGGAAUUUUGGACAAUGGGGGCAACCCUGAUCCAGCCAUGCCGCGUGAGUGAAGAAGGCCUUCGGGUUGUAAAGCUCUUUCGGCCGGGAAGAAAUCGCAUGGGCUAAUACCCUGUGUGGAUGACGGUACCGGAAUAAGAAGCACCGGCUAACUACGUGCCAGCAGCCGCGGUAAUACGUAGGGUGCGAGCGUUAAUCGGAAUUACUGGGCGUAAAGCGUGCGCAGGCGGUUUAGUAAGACAGGCGUGAAAUCCCCGGGCUCAACCUGGGAACUGCGCUUGUGACUGCUAAGCUAGAGUAC
rnacentral:rRNA from 1 species